CAAUCAAAUGAUGAUCAUCACCUUUACAAUUUUCUGGUACCUCUUAUGUUAGGGCUGCUUCGGGAAUCUCGAAGUGGCCCCAUGAAUUCAUCGGACUUCUGAUU
rnacentral:snoRNA from 1 species